rnacentral:lncRNA from 1 species
CCCCAUCUCAAUAAGGAUUGGGGUUCUUAUCAAGGACCCUAGCUCUCAAGGAAGCUCUCAACACGAGCCCGAGAUGAGACUUCCUCGGGGUGACGAAAGAUCAGACCUCUGAGCCCGAGCCCUGGUGGGGGGCACCAAACCCGAGUGGCCCCAGACAAAUCUGCGGCCAUGGACGAAAAGGAUGGAUCAAUACGAUGGC